GCAUUGAUAGUUCAGUGGUAGAAUUCCUGCCUUCCAUGUGGGGGACCUGGAUUCCAUUCCCAGCCAAUGCC
rnacentral:tRNA from 1 species